GAUGAACGCUAGCGGCAGGCCUAAUACAUGCAAGUCGAACGGAUAUAUGUUUUUCGGAAUAUAUAUUAGUGGCGCACGGGUGAGUAACACGUACAUAACUUGCCCUCAAGCGGGGGAUAGCCUUGGGAAACUGAGAGUAAUACCCCAUAGAAUUAUUGGACGGCAUCGUUUGAUAAUUAAAACUACGGUGUUUGGGGAUAGAUGUGCGUCUGAUUAGCUAGUUGGUGAGGUAACUGCUCACCAAGGCGACGACCAGUAGGGGGCGUGAGAGCGUGGCCCCCCACACGGGUACUGAGACACGGACCCGACUCCUACGGGAGGCAGCAGUAAGGAAUAUUGGUCAAUGGAGGGAACUCUGAACCAGCCAUGCCGCGUGAAGGAUGACGGCCCUCUGGGUUGUAAACUUCUUUUGGAUGGGGCGAAAAAACGGGAUUUAUCCUGGACUGACGGUACCAUCAGAAUAAGCACCGGCUAACUCCGUGCCAGCAGCCGCGGUAAUGUAGUCG
rnacentral:rRNA from 1 species